GGCUUGUGCAGAAAAACCGCAAGGGCCAGUCCAUCCGAAUGGCUCGAUCCAACCCGACCGAUUAAUGCGGUUUAAACUAUUUUCUAGAUUGAACCCGUGAAAUGCCGAUUUCAACCCGAGCAACCUGCUUAAAGUCAUGUUCUAAGCGUGGAAUACAAAUCAAACCCUAGCUGACUAGCCCUCCCCAUUCUCUUCCUCAUUAUCAUCACCUCCAUUCGCCAACAUGGUCGUUGCCUCCGUUCCCUCUGUUCGUCAUUGCAUUAAUCGCUCUCAGAUUGUUAGUCACCCACCUAUCUUUCAGUUCCAAAAUAUGUUUCACCUACCCUCACAAAGAGCCAAUAUUUGUUGAUUCAGACCAAGAAAGUUUCAGAGACCCAUUUUCCAUUUCAGUUGCGUCGAUUCUAAGCUUGGUAGGUGUUGGAUUCUUUUAAAGCAAGUCACCCGCUGAAGGCCUCAAGCAAAACAGAGAGGAACCAUAGUUGGGCCUCAAGCGAGACUGAGCUCUCCAAGCCUAUCACUGCUUAUUGCAAGAAAAUAAGUUGAUACGGAGAAUACUCUACCGAUGGAUUGGCUUUGUCUCGAUAUUAAGAACGGGGUUAAGGAUCAUCUUUAGUUACCAUGGCUGAAGAAAACAUUUCUUAAUUUGAAACUAUAGGCCGCUCAACUUUUCGAGCGCAAAAUAGUGGUGGUUGGUUCCGAUUCAACAAGGGUAGAAUGCCUGGUCGAAAUAUUCACUUAACUCAUGAAUUUUAUGUAAAUUGUAAAAAUGAUUUAAUUUUAUGUAUAGUGGGAAAAA